CACCUAAGUGUCAGGUCCCGCUCCCAUCUUCUCUCUUCCGGUCGUCAGGUCCCGCUCCCAUCUUCUCUCUUUCUGAAAGUGCUGCCGCUUGCUAGGUCCCGCCUGUGUGAGUUCCCGCUCACAAACCUUAAACUGACAACGAUGAUGUCAGCACACCUGCGACUGGACUAUUUGGACUCCUUCUUAAAGGAGAAUGUGC